rnacentral:lncRNA from 1 species
GGCACGGUGGCUCAUGCCUGUAAUCCCAGCACUUUGGGAGGCCCAGGCAGGCGGAUCGCUUGAGGUCAGGAGUUCGAGACCAGCCUGGCCAACAUGGUGAAACCCUGUAUCUACUAAAAAUACAAAAAUUAGCCAGGCAUGGUCGCGCAUGCCUGUAAUCCCAGCUACUUGAGAGGCUGAAGCAUGAGAAUUGCUUGAACCCAGGAGGUGGAGGUUAUAGUGAGCCGAGAUCACGCCCGUGCAGCCUGGGUAACAGAGCGAGACCCUGUCUGAAAAAAAAAAAAAAGAAAGAAAG